GGUGUGAAGGGGAUUUGGGAGUUCUCAGUGAUUGGUUAUGACUGGCAAGAGAAGAAGAAGAGUUGCCAGAGCUACCUGCAAAAGAACGAAGCUCUGAACAUUUGUUUUGUGCCCAUUGACCGGGGGUAAACACACUGAGUGACUUGAGGAAGCAAAGGCUCUGGAGAGGGUCCCUCACUAUGCUAGAUUCAUCCCGAGGAACAAGUUCCGCCUUGAAUGAAACACACCAGCAUGUGAAACUGACUGGACAACCAUUCUGGCCUCAGAGAAACACAAAUGCAGCAAAGAAGGCUGAGCCAGUUUCCUCUGAGCAGGAAAUUUCAAGGCCUCUUUCCAUCACACCCCAACCUCCCUUACCAAACACAUCUUCCUCUGCACAAUAGAUGCCUUUCUCCAGCGUUUUCCAGAUUGAGUUCAGUAAGAGAGUCACCAGUUUGCCAUAAAUGAAGGCA
rnacentral:lncRNA from 10 species